CCUUUUGUAUAAUGGGUCAGCGACUUAUAUUCUGUAGCAAGGUUAACCGAAUAGGGGAGCCGAAGGGAAACCGAGUCUUAACUGGGCGUUAAGUUGCAGGGUAUAGACCCGAAACCCGGUGAUCUAGCCAUGGGCAGGUUGAAGGUUGGGUAACACUAACUGGAGGACCGAACCGACUAAUGUUGAAAAAUUAGCGGAUGACUUGUGGCUGGGGGUGAAAGGCCAAUCAAACCGGGAGAUAGCUGGUUCUCCCCGAAAGCUAUUUAGGUAGCGCCUCGUGAAUUCAUCUCCGGGGGUAGAGCACUGUUUCGGCAAGGGGGUCAUCCCGACUUACCAACCCGAUGCAAACUGCGAAUACCGGAGAAUGUUAUCACGGGAGACACACGGCGGGUGCUAACGUCCGUCGUGAAGAGGGAAACAACCCAGACCGCCAGCUAAGGUCCCAAAGUCAUGGUUAAGUGGGAAACGAUGUGGGAAGGCCCAGACAGCCAGGAUGUUGGCUUAGAAGCAGCCAUCAUUUAAAGAAAGCGUAAUAGCUCACUGGUCGAGUCGGCCUGCGCGGAAGAUGUAACGGGGCUAAACCAUGCACCGAAGCUGCGGCAGCGACACUAUGUGUUGUUGGGUAGGGGAGCGUUCUGUAAGCCUGUGAAGGUGUGCUGUGAGGCAUGCUGGAGGUAUCAGAAGUGCGAAUGCUGACAUAAGUAACGAUAAAGCGGGUGAAAAGCCCGCUCGCCGGAAGACCAAGGGUUCCUGUCCAACGUUAAUCGGGGCAGGGUGAGUCGACCCCUAAGGCGAGGCCGAAAGGCGUAGUCGAUGGGAAACAGGUUAAUAUUCCUGUACUUGGUGUUACUGCGAAGGGGGGACGGAGAAGGCUAUGUUGGCCGGGCGACGGUUGUCCCGGUUUAAGCGUGUAGGCUGGUUUUCCAGGCAAAUCCGGAAAAUCAAGGCUGAGGCGUGAUGACGAGGCACUACGGUGCUGAAGCAACAAAUGCCCUGCUUCCAGGAAAAGCCUCUAAGCAUCAGGUAACAUCAAAUCGUACCCCAAACCGACACAGGUGGUCAGGUAGAGAAUACCAAGGCGCUUGAGAGAACUCGGGUGAAGGAACUAGGCAAAAUGGUGCCGUAACUUCGGGAGAA
rnacentral:rRNA from 1 species